rnacentral:rRNA from 1 species
AGUGAACGCUGGCGGUAGGCCUAACACAUGCAAGUCGAACGGCAGCACAGGAGAGCUUGCUCUCUGGGUGGCGAGUGGCGGACGGGUGAGGAAUACAUCGGAAUCUACCUUUUCGUGGGGGAUAACGUAGGGAAACUUACGCUAAUACCGCAUACGACCUUCGGGUGAAAGCAGGGGACCUUCGGGCCUUGCGCGGAGAGAUGAGCCGAUGUCGGAUUAGCUAGUUGGCGGGGUAAAGGCCCACCAAGGCGACGAUCCGUAGCUGGUCUGAGAGGAUGAUCAGCCACACUGGAACUGAGACACGGUCCAGACUCCUACGGGAGGCAGCAGUGGGGAAUAUUGGACAAUGGGCGCAAGCCUGAUCCAGCCAUACCGCGUGGGUGAAGAAGGCCUUCGGGUUGUAAAGCCCUUUUGUUGGGAAAGAAAAGCAGUCGGCUAAUACCCGAUUGUUCUGACGGUACCCAAAGAAUAAGCACCGGCUAACUUCGUGCCAGCCGCCGCCGUAAUAC